rnacentral:tRNA from 1 species
CUCCUGUUGGUCCAGUGGUUAUGACUCUGUACUCCCAAUGCAGGGGGCCCAGGUUCGAUCCCUGGUCAGGUAA